rnacentral:rRNA from 1 species
GACGUAGGGCGCAAGCGUUGUCCGGAUUUAUUGGGCGUAAAGAGCUCGUAGGCGGUCUGUCGCGUCGGCUGUGAAAACUCGGGGCUCAACCCCGAGCCUGCAGUCGAUACGGGCAGACUAGAGUGCGGUAGGGGAGACUGGAAUUCCUGGUGUAGCGGUGAAAUGCGCAGAUAUCAGGAGGAACACCGGUGGCGAAGGCGGGUCUCUGGGCCGUAACUGACGCUGAGGAGCGAAAGCGUGGGGAGCAAACAGG